CAAUUAAACGGAGCUUUAGGGCCUGAGCAGAUCAGUCCCUGGCUGGGACCAGAACUGGAAAGCAGUGAAACUCCACAGGUAAAGAGGCCUGGGAGAGAUGCUGCUCAAACAGGUAACCAAUGAAGAACUCAAGAAGGUGAAGGGACUAAGUGGGAAGCAGCCCAGGGAAAGCAGCAGUAGCCAUUAAAGGUAAACAGUACGGGGCUGCUGUCUAUAGGGUCCCUGGGUUAGGACCCUGAAUCCCCCCUACUGACCACUGGAAAAGUGGUGUAAGCCCCAAGAUGGGGAUAAGACUCUGCAUUAAAAUCCCAAGGAAGAGGCUGGGAAUGUAAACAGGCCCAGGGACAGGGCUGAAGAUGCUGAAGAGGGCCAGCCAUUCAUUGAACUUUGUUACCCCAGAUGGGGGCUGAACUUGAAGGAGUGACCUGGCUGGAGAGCUGGGGCAAUGAAAAUUGGUAAAGGCAAAAAGUCUCCAGGGAGAAAGCCCUGGGAGCACUGCUCUAUACCAGGGCAGGCACGGACUAGAAGGGCCUGAGGACUGAGCCCAGAGACAGGGCUACAGACAUUAACAAGGGCAUAGGGACAGGUCCCAGGGGGCUUUUUACCCUGUUCAUCCAUCCAUUCACCUAUUAACUGAGUGACUUAGCCAGGGGGCUGAGCCACUGAAGACCUGCCUGAUAAAGGCAACAGUCAACAGGAGGCACUGGGAGUAGAGAAAGGAGAGAGAGAAGAAUCGCACCCAGCUGACAGGAGGUGAUCACAAGAGGCAAAACUCUCCUGGACUUCAAUGGAAUUUUUGCCACAGUAAUGAGAACAGGAUCAGAUCAACAGCUAGAAAUACAGAUUGCAGCAGUGGAGGAAGCAGUAGGGGCCGCCGAGGUCCUCGCUCUCCCCUGAAGUUCUCUAGCGCAGAGAUUGGGAACCUUCUCUUGGACCUUGCAGGAACCUGUUUUCUGUUGCAUAUAUAAACAGGAUCUGAAUGAGCUCUCCCCUGACAUCUACUGAUGAGCUGGAGGAAAAGACUUCAGAAACACACCAUGUUUGCAUAG